ensembl:lncRNA
GUUGAAGGGUUGAAGUGUUCGCUGCUCUAACCGGUAGUUCACUUCUUCAGAAAAUGGAAUGCAUUUCAAAAGAGUUUCAACUUGAUUCGAUCUGAUUUUUUUAGCCGAUUAGCUGAAACGGGUCUGAGCGGACUGAGCCGAGUCAACCUCUCUCCAACACCUAUUGAUUUCUGCAAGAGAAACACAUCUGUGUUGUGGAUAAGGAAACAGUGAGUAUUUUUCGAGGACAGUGUGUGUGUGUGUGUGUGUGUGUGUGUGUGUGUGUGUGUGUGUGUGUCCGUGUACGAGGUCUUUUAGACCUCAUUAGUGAAGGACACUGAAACCAUUGUGCUCACACACACACACACACACACACACACACGAGCAACACUUUCCAGUUGUCAUCUCUUGCACAACAUUCUGCAUUCUGUACAGUCCUUUACGCAUCACAAUAAACACACCUUCCUCAUGCUCUCAUUUAAAGCUGCUAUUCGUCUCCUUAUGCCUUUUGCCCACUCAUUUCACACACAAACUCAUUCUACAACCCAUUUUAGAGUGAAAUAUUAACUCAUUCGGACAUGCGUCUAAUAAUGGAAUUAGAUGUGACCAGUGCCCCGGGGAAUGGAGGCAGAAGGGAGUGUGCAGUGGGAGAGAGGACAGAGGAGCCUGGGAAGAUCUCCCCCAAAUAAUGAGCGGUGAGAUAGAAGUGACUUUGGAUCUUGGGGGAUUCGACAGACACGUAGAUUUGGAGUGUGUGUGUGUGUGUGUGUGUGAGUGUGUGUGUUAUUGUUUGUGUAUGUGUGUGUGUUUUGCAGUCUGAGUUAAAUGGUGUGUCAAUUCCACUUUGUGAGUCAGUCAGUCCAUUCCAUUAGACACACAAACACACACAUACACACACGUGCACACACGUGCACACACCCACACACACGCGCGUACGCACACGCACACACACACACUCUCUCUACUCCAGUACAGUUGUGGCCUCUGUGGAUGCAUAAUCAUUGCCAGGAGUCACAGGCAAUAUAGUGAGAAUUGGAUCUUUAGUGCCUGUUAAAAUAUUACUGAGCUGAUUAAUAUUGAAAUAUGCACGUCUCUAAGCCGUCUAUCCCUCAUUUUCUUUCCCACUUUCCAUCUAUUUCUCUCCCUGUCCGCACCGUUCUCCUUCAUCUCUCAAUGUCUCCUUCGCUAUUUCGGCUACUUAGUCGCAUUUCGCUUGAAUUAGCAAGACGGCUUGAUGUGAAUUAUUUGAAGGAAGAGUUUGAAAGUGUUUGCACACGUUUGAUGUUCUCUUACAUAUUUUCGAAGCCCGUGGUCCCUGUUUUGAAUUGUUAUGCUGACCCGUCUCAUAUAUUUUGAAUGGAAAGACAUAAAUAUAGCGGCAGGUCACAAGUUAGCCUAACCGGAACACCUAGUCGGUGAUGUGUGACCUGAACAGUCCAUUAGUCACGGUACGCUCUUAUUCAUGCCACGCAUAGCUUUAUGUCUCUAACUGAUUUUUACACUACUAAUUAAUGUUUCACGGUGCUGUUUAUAAAAGCCAGAGGCGCCUAAGGAGGUAAAGGGCAUGGGGUAGCAUGGAUCAUUACAGAGUUAUGGUAUUUAAAUUAGCCCCCCCCCCACCCUAUUUUCAUCAUCACCUAUCCUUAUGCAUAUAUGGAUGUGUGUGUGUGUGAGAGAGAGAGAGAGAGUGAGAGAGAGAGACUCAAGACUGCUGCAGGCCUGUGAUAUCAACAGAUACAGCAGAGAAAUUCUCCCACCAAGAUGGUCUCAAAGUUGUGAAUUCAGUGAAGGCCAGAGUGCAGGGUGUGUUUUUGCGGUCGUUUCUUGCACCUCCGUUCAUACGACAUAUAACUCAGUUGCUCUUGCUUGAUAAAAAUUCAUAAAGAUUUUGCGUCACUUUGCUCUCGCGUUGAUAUUUCACAGAUGCACGCAUACAUGUCCAUUGAAACCAAGGGAAUCUGUGCUAAAUCAGUCAUGUCUUUUGUACACGAAUCCAAUAAUGCUAAUUUCGCCCGCCGCGCUAUUUGUGAUUUGCGAUUGCUUUCUGUGGCAUAUAGCAUGAAAUGUUCUUGGCUUGUUAAACCCUAAUUGGCUGUAAUCGUUACUAGACUCUUCAAAUCCAUACUUGGCUCAUAGAUCUAAUGACAAGACUGGACUUGUGUGUAUUGUGUAUCUAUCUGCCUACAGGUAAUGUGGGAUGCUGAUGUUAUGAGGAUAUCAAGCAAAAAUGAAUAAGGAGCUAAAUACUGAUGCUUCAGUGGAGUGCCAUCAUCAUCCUCCAUUGUACUGGAUGGAUUUUUUACGUCACGUUUUCUAGACCUAAUGAUGAUGCUUAUAAUUGAAGAUGUGUGUGUACAGUGUACAGUAGUUAGUUCACUCAACCUGAUUGGUAAGUGUAAACCGUGCGUAUACUGGAUAUUAAAUAACAGCACAUUUCCCACUCGGUUAUCCAUACCUGUUUCGUUCCAGUGACCACUGGUAACUAUGGUAACAGUAACAGUUGCUCUGCUUUAAACCACUACUGUCGUCCGGCUGCUAGCAUUACCUUAAUGAACACCAGGAAUAGAAAAUACUUCAUAUUUGACUUGCACUGCCAGGCUUGCAUUCAGAUAAUACAUUUUUUUUUUAAAAUUUAAACCCAAAAGACCUAAGUUACAGUUAUAACUCCAAGCUAGCAACAGUUAUUUCCAUAUUAUUAUUAAUAUGGGCAGUUUCUUUCACCAAAAACAAAAAAAAGUAUUCCCACUCCAAGUGGCUUGUCAGUAUGUAUAGAACAAAACACGAUGGGCCAAAAUAUUAUACGAAAAUGAUCAGAGAUUUGACUCUGACUGCUGACACUGGAGACUAAACAAACCUCUCCUCACAGAAGACGUCACCAUAUCAUCACUAUAUUAAGAAUUUAACAGUGUUUAUCUCUCUCACUCUCUCAAGCCCUCUCUCUCGCUUUUUCUCUCUCUCCUUCUCUCUCUCCCCCUCUUUCUCCCUCUCUCUCUCUCUUUCUCCCUCGCUCCGUCUUUCCAUAAUGAUGUUGCAUUUUAAACG